AAAAAAAAAAAAAAAAAAAAAGUAACAGAAUUGAACAAAAAAAAGUAAAAUUAAUUAAAAAUAUAGUACCUUUAGCGCAUCAUUAUUUAACAUUUUCUUUUACUCAUUCACAUAGAAUUAUGUAAACUUUUAUUUUUCACUACAACUUUCACGCUCAAAAGGGUUAAAAAAAAUAAAUAAAGUGAAAUAAACAUAAAUGAAUGAGCAUAUAUAAGUGAAUAAAUAAGCAAACAAACAAACAAACAAAUUGGUAAACACAUGAACUGAACAUAUGGAUAAAAUGAAAAAAUAAAAAAAAUGUUAAAACUUUUUUUUAAGCUCAAGUAUGUUCUCAAAAAAAAAAAAAAAAAAUUAACCUUUUGGCUCAUAUCGAUAAGUGAUAGGUUUUCAUAUGGUGCUCGUUUACAAUAUUUUAUUGUAAAUUUAUAUAUCAAAGUGUCGUACAUUACUUUUAAAAAACACGUUCAAUGUAGCAACGAGUUAGUGUAUGCACCAGGUCAUUCACACACAUAUUCAUGUAAACUUAAAUACCUUUUUUAGUAGUACAUAUAUACAUAUAUAUAUAUAUAUAUAUAAACAUUUUUUUUUUUUUUUUUUUUUUUUUCUGUCGUCCCUCCAGUUUAUACGAAUAAUAAAAGCUCAUUGUUAAAUGUUUAAAAACUUAAAAGUAAAAAUGAAGUUUUAUGUAUUAAUAUAUAUUUAUAUUAUUAUAUCCGUUUUAACAUUGUCACUUAGAAUUCAAAAUAAUUGUUAUAUAAAUAAUAAAGUGUUAAAGAGUCCACAGACAACUAAUAAACCGAACAAACGAGUGUUUAAUAUAAAUAAAUUAAAAGAACAGAUUUAUUCGAAAACAAAUCAAUUUAAUAUAACACAAUUUUUAAAAAUAUUAAAAGAAGGAGCUUUUAGUAAUAUUCAUCCAUUGGGUCUAUCUGCUAUAAUGUUGACCUUAGGGUCAGCAUUAGGCUUGCUUUAUAAAAGUAGAAAAAAAAAAACCAAUACCAAUGUUGGUGAAUUAAAAAAUUGUGAAAACGAGCUAUUUAAAUAUAAGUGUGUAAAAUGUAACUUAUUAAUUUUCCCGGCUAAAGGGAGAGAGCACAAAUUUUUAAAAGAUGUAAGAUAUAUAAUAAAACAAAAACAAAAAAAUAAUAUUUUUUAAAAUAAGUUAAAUAAAUUAUUUUGUGAUAUAUACUUGUAUAAUUUG
rnacentral:lncRNA from 1 species